rnacentral:piRNA from 1 species
UCUGUGUAGAGGAGGAAGAGGUGUGGGA